UACGUAGGGUGCGAGCGUUGUCCGGAAUUAUUGGGCGUAAAGAGCUCGUAGGCGGUGUGUCACGUCGGCCGUGAAAACCUGCAGCUUAACUGUGGGCGUGCGGUCGAUACGGGCAGGCUCGAGUUCGGUAGGGGAGACUGGAAUUCCUGGUGUAGCGGUGAAAUGCGCAGAUAUCAGGAGGAACACCGGUGGCGAAGGCGGGUCUCUGGGCCGAUACUGACGCUGAGGAGCGAAAGCGUGGGGAGCGAACAGG
rnacentral:rRNA from 1 species